UUAGGUGUAAAGGACCGAAAUUAUGUAAUUUUCUGUUAAACACCGGAAGUUGUGUUUUGUUUCCGGGAGCUUGACACCUAAACACCGGAAGUUGUGUUUCGUUUCCGGGAGCUUGACACGCGCGAUUCUUUAGAAACCAGAGCGUCUUCUCACGUGAGUUCAGUUAGUUUUCACAGCUUAAUUUCAAUGUCUGUUUUCUUGUGAUCUUUAAACAUGUAAACAUUGUGCAUUUUAUUUCUGUUAGAUUGAAUUAUAUCAGCUGCAUUUACGUGCAAUUUAGUUCGGUCGGCCCCUCCCCCUCCCAGAGUAAAGCAGGUGGGAGCAACAUAGAGGGAAACCCUGCAGUUAGCACCCUUGGCAAGCGGAGCGAGUUUUCACGGUGCCAAACGAAAUAAAACUACUGCACCCGUCA